AUACGGAGGGGGCAAGCGUUGUUCGGAAUUACUGGGCGUAAAGGGCGCGUAGGCGGAUUGUUAAGUUAGAGGUGAAAGCCCUGGGCUCAACCUAGGAACUGCCUUUGAAACUGAUAAUCUAGAGUCCGAGAGAGGAUGGCGGAAUUCCCAGUGUAGAGGUGAAAUUCGUAGAUAUUGGGAAGAACACCAGUGGCGAAAGCGGCCAUCUGGCUCGGUACUGACGCUGAGGCGCGAAAGCGUGGGGAGCAAACAGGAUUAGAAACCCCGGUAGUCC
rnacentral:rRNA from 1 species